GCGCACUCCUAUUUAAGAGCUUUUAUCGACAAUUAGGGUUUACGACCUCUAUAUUGGAUCAGGACACCCCAAUGGUGCAGCCGCUAUUAAAGGUUCGUUUGUUCAACGAUUAAAGUCCUACGUGAUCUGAGUUCAGACCGGAGAAAUCCAGGUCGGUUUCUAUCUAUAUAAUAAUUUCUCCUAGUACGAAAGGACAAGAGAAUUAAGGCCAACAUUACAAACAAGCCUUACAACUAACUAAUGAUCUUAUCUCAAUUAGUUAAUGCAAGAUUUUAUUACUCUAGAGAAGAGUUAUUAAGGUGGCAGAGCAGGUAAUUGCAUAAAACUUAAGCCUUUACUAU
rnacentral:ncRNA from 1 species